UACGGGGGGGGCAAGCGUUGUUCGGAAUUACUGGGCGUAAAGGGCUCGUAGGCGGCCAACUAAGUCGGACGUGAAAUCCCUCGGCUUAACCGGGGAACUGCGUCCGAUACUGGAUGGCUUGAGUUCGGGAGAGGGAUGCGGAAUUCCAGGUGUAGCGGUGAAAUGCGUAGAUAUCUGGAGGAACACCGGUGGCGAAGGCGGCAUCCUGGACCGGUAUUGACGCUGAGGAGCGAAAGCCAGGGGAGCAAACGGG
rnacentral:rRNA from 1 species